ensembl:lncRNA
GCCCCGGCUCCGUCCGGGUCAGGGCGGAGGCAUAGACCUGGCUUGGGAGCAUGGGGCGCCGAGAGCCGGCGCCAUGCGGGGCCUCCCCUGCCAGGGACCUGGGGCCGACAGCGGCGGGUGUGAGGAGGGCCCGAGGACACUGUGUGGGCAGGCCAGUCACGGAGGGGAGAAGGCGAAAGGGCGUUGAGAGCUAGGGUUCUAAUGACAUAGUCGGCCAGGAGCUGGAGGUGCUAGGGAGGUGGCUGUUGCCACCGGGAGGGGAUUGGAGUCGGGGGGUGCAUCAGGAAAGGACGAGAAAGGAGCUGGGCUGCCAGGGCGUUCCCGGAGCCUCGGGUUAAGGGUGGACACCGAAGGAUGGGGAAUAUCACGCUUACAUGGAGACUUUUGGGUGGCAGGGGGUGUGUCCUCCUGCUGCCGUAGAUCAAAAGUUGAUGGGAGGAAUGGGAGUGGUCAGCAUUACUUUUCUUCCGUAACUCAGAUGCAAGAAAGCUUCACAACCGUGAUUUAACCUGGCUAAGUACUUGGGCUCUGGACUGGUUCGGUCUGCGCUUGCUUCACAUAUCACAGAUUCCUGCCUCCUGCCUUCCUCCCUCCCUGUUUUUAUGCCCAUUUUAAAAAACAGAUUUCCUCAGUGUUCUGAAGUCCUGUACUUCCCUCCUGCUAAUAGCUUCGGGGACAGCCUGACCUGAUAUCAGAUGUAAUGGGCAAGCACCCAUAGGGCCUUCACACUCAGUAGGUUUAGGGUUAAACCAAGGACAUUUCAAAACCAAGUAUAUGGAGUCUUUGAAAACAUGUGUCCUGCCUUGACCAGUGGUGGAGAAAAGACUACUCUGACCCACCCUGGAGGAGGAAUUUGGACAACAAGUAAUGUGAGGUUGUCCCUGCUUGUCAUGCUUGCCCUGUGGCCUUGGCCUUAGGGCGGCCCUGGCCCUUUCGCUGCUCACCUGCUGCAGCGCUUUCCCUCCUGCUGAUGCUCUUGCCAACCUGCUGCAGUAGGAUGAGUUCUUGCGGCUGCUGAGUAACUUUUCCUCUGUUUCAGGGAUGAAGCAUGAAAAACAAUGGCAAGAUAAGUGACAAAAUUAAGACAAAUGGAAGUGUUCGUACAGUUAACAGAUUUUUUUCUUCUCAGAUGGAGUUUGGACUUCUUUUGCACAGAUUCUGUUAGAAGGCAGAUUGAAAGUCCUCAACAUGUAUCUGUGCCGAAUGGUUCCUUGCAGCUUGAGACAUCUAAGCAGUCUGUGUUCUUUCUUUGAUCGAAACUUUAUUUUUUUAAAUUUCAGUUAUUUUUGUGUGGGUAAGGAGGGAGGGAGAGCAUAUCUUAGGGGAGAGGAGAAAGACUUCUUUGUGUCUACCCUUUAUAGGUCUCUCUUGCCUAAGUUUGUAAGCUUGCCCCAUAUUCACUUCUAGUUUAGCCAGUAAACCCAGUUCCUAGAAAGUCUUUCUGAUGGGGAGAGUUAGAUGGGUAUUAUGUUUGGGGCCCUACAAGACCACGUCGUCUGUUGGGUUAAUUCUGGGCCUUGCUUUUGGUUUGUGUUUAUUUUCUUUUUAAAUAAUCCUGCAGAGUGCUUUUACAUCUUGUUUCUCCUAACUGUGGGAUUGAUUUGAGAUUUUUGACUGAGAUUUUAGAUAGCUUUUCUCACAGGAAAUGCAAAACCCUGAUGUUGAUGUAAGGUGUGUUUCCUGGGUACCCUAGAAUUUAAAACCAUAAUCCAGUGGAACUGAAUGUGGGGAGAUGCGUUUGGCUUUGUGGAUGGAGGAGCUCGAUGGGCUAUAUAUCAGAAUCUCUAUUUAGUUUCAUUUGGAAAGGAAUAUAGAGUCUUAUAAGUUUAUGUUGGAUUACUAAAAACCCUAAUAUCCUAGAAGGGUAUGAUAAUUUUAUAUUUCUCUAGAAGGUAGUAUAGAUUUAAAAGGUUGAGAAACAUGUUAGCCAGUCUAAUGGGAGGGUGCUAGUACUCAGUUCAGUUCUUAAUAAUCUGUUCAUCCUAAAGCUUGGCACUAGGGGCUGCUCACUUUGUUCUCUCUGAGCUGAGUGUAGUUGGAGCUGUAGAGGAGAAGCUAACCUUUCAAAGCUCACAGUCUUCAUCAUUGCAGGGUUUAUGUUUGGGGAGAGGUGCAUGUGCGAAUGAUUGUAAGACCAACAAAUGUGCUCUUCUGAUUUCAUUUGGAUUCCAUAUGUUUUUCAGGAGGAAAGGUUGCCAGCUCAUUCUCAAUUUCCUGGAUUUCUCGCCUGUAACAGUGAAAAAGAUCAGCAGGUAACUGCUCAUAGUUUAUCACAGUACCAAAAUGUAUACUGGAUGAACUUCAACCACUUGUUUGAAUCAAGGCUAAGGAGGAAGCCAGACUUCAGAACACUGAAUAAACCCCAGAAGAAAGUAUCAUUUCAGGAACCUGGUUGGGCCUAGGCAGUCUCAUCAUUCUUCAGUUUUAAUCUUUGCCAAACUCACGAAGUGCCUAUGGUCUGGCCCUGGAGUCUCCAGAUGUGGUUUGUGGUGACCUGCCCAGCAGCUGGUGCUUCGUUAACUGCUUCCUGACCAGAGUUGCUUCUCCCUAUCUCUUGCCUUGAAAAGACCUUCUGUUAGAAAUAAGCUGACCUGCUUGAGGCUUUCGCAGUGCUUGAGGCUUUCGCAGUGCUGUUUUAGUCAGAAUAGCAAUGAACCCUUCUAGCUGUUGCUGAGGAGAGGGAAGCCUGGUCCCUUUCUGACGGACUCUUCCCCACAGUGGCGUUUGCUGCCUCCAUUUCCUUCCCUGGUCUCCCGGCCCCUCUUUCUCCUGAGUUUAAGUAGCGCAGCAGUCCUCUGGGAGUCGUCUUUGUCCUUCUGUUUCUUUCUUUGCUCAGUGCUGCUCUCCCUCAUCUUCUGCCUCUUCUUUUUCCUCUUCCCUCUCCCUCUCCCUCUGCUUUUCUCUCUCUCUCCCUUCCUCCUGCCUCCCCCUCUCUCUCCCUCCCCAGCUAACCUCCUACCCC